UACGUAGGUGGCAAGCGUUGUCCGGAAUUACUGGGCGUAAAGGGCGUGUAGGCGGCCUUUUAAGUCAGACGUGAAAACCCUGGGCUUAACCCAGGACCUGCGUUUGAUACUGAAGGCUUGAGGACCGGAGAGGACAGUGGAAUUCCCAGUGUAGCGGUGAAAUGCGUAGAUAUCGUAAGGAAGACCAGUGGCGAAGGCGAGUCUCUGGACAGCAACUGACGCUGAGGCACGAAGGCCAGGGAGCAAACGGGAGUA
rnacentral:rRNA from 1 species